GGUUUAUGUUUCAAAUAAUUUAUUGCCGUAGGAUGGGACUGCGGCCUAUCAGUUUGUUGGUGAGGUAAUGGCCCACCAAGACUAUUACAGGUACGGGCUCUGAGAGGAGUAGCCCGGAGAUGGGUACUGAGACACGGACCCAGGCCCUAUGGGGCGCAGCAGGCGAGAAAACUUUGCAAUGUGCGAAAGCACGACAAGGUUAAUCCGAGUGGUUUCUGCUAAAGGAACCUUUUGUCAGUCCUAGAAACACUGAUGAAUAAGGGGUGGGCAAGUUCUGGUGUCAGCCGCCGCGGUAAAACCAGCACCUCAAGUGGUCAGGAUGAUUAUUGGGCCUAAAGCAUCCGUAGCCUGCUUUGUAAGUUUUCGGUUAAAUCCAUACGCUCAACGUAUGGGCUGCCGGGAAUACUGCAAAGCUAGGGAGUGGGAGAGGUAGACGGUACUCGGUAGGAAGGGGUAAAAUCCUUUGAUCUAUUGAUGACCACCUGUGGCGAAGGCGGUCUACCAGAACACGUCCGACGGUGAGGGAUGAAAGCUGGGGGAGCAAACCGGAUCAGAUACCC
rnacentral:rRNA from 1 species